GAUGAACGCUGGCGGCGUGCCUAAUACAUGCAAGUCGAACGAGUUCUCGUUGAUGAUCGGUGCUUGCACCGAGAUUCAACAUGGAACGAGUGGCGGACGGGUGAGUAACACGUGGGUAACCUGCCCUUAAGUGGGGGAUAACAUUUGGAAACAGAUGCUAAUACCGCAUAGAUCCAAGAACCGCAUGGUUCUUGGCUGAAAGAUGGCGUAAGCUAUCGCUUUUGGAUGGACCCGCGGCGUAUUAGCUAGUUGGUGAGGUAAUGGCUCACCAAGGCGAUGAUACGUAGCCGAACUGAGAGGUUGAUCGGCCACAUUGGGACUGAGACACGGCCCAAACUCCUACGGGAGGCAGCAGUAGGGAAUCUUCCACAAUGGACGCAAGUCUGAUGGAGCAACGCCGCGUGAGUGAAGAAGGCUUUCGGGUCGUAAAACUCUGUUGUUGGAGAAGAAUGGUCGGCAGAGUAACUGUUGUCGGCGUGACGGUAUCCAACCAGAAAGCCACGGCUAACUAC
rnacentral:rRNA from 1 species